rnacentral:rRNA from 1 species
CCUACGGGAGGCUGCAGUGGGGAAUAUUGCACAAUGGGCGAAAGCCUGAUGCAGCAACGCCGCGUGAAGGAAGAAGGCCUUCGGGGCGUAAAGUUCUGUCCUUGGGGAAGAAGAACUGCCGUUCCCGAAGGAGGAAGCCCGGGCUAACUACGUCCCAGCAGCGGCGGUAAUACGUAGGGGGGAAGGGUUAUCCGGAAUUAUGGGGCGAAAGGGGUACGUGGGUGGGAGCUUAAGCGCAGGGUUUAAGCCACGGGCUCAACCAUUGGUUGCCCUGGGAACUGGGUUGCUUGAGUGCGGGAGAGGAAAGCGGAAUUCCUAGUGUAGCGGUGAAAUGCGUAGAUAUUAGGAGGAACACCAGUGGCGAAGGCGGCUUACUGGACCAUAACUGACGCUGAGGUACGAAAGCGUGGGGAGCGAACAGGAUUAGAUACCCGAGUAGUC